CCUACGGGAGGCAGCAGUGGGGAAUAUUGGUCAAUGGACGCAAGUCUGAACCAGCCACGCCGCGUGCAGGAAGAAGGCUCUCUGAGUUGUAAACUGCUUUUGUACGAGGGAAAACGCAGAUACGCGUAUCUCUCUGAAAGUACCGUACGCGUAAGGACCGGCUAAGUACGUGCCAGCAGCCGAGGUAAUACGGAGGGUACAAGCGUUACCCGGAUGUAUUGGGUUUAAAGGGUGCGUAGGCGGUCGGAUAAGUCAGAGGUCAAAUCCCGAGGCUCAACCUCGGGAAUGCCUCUGAUACUGUUCGGCUAGAGAGCAGUUGCGGUAGGCGGAAUGUAUGGUGUAGCGGUGAAAUGCGUAGAUAUCACGCAGAACCCCGGUUGCGAAGGCAGCAUACCGGCGCGCUACUGACGCUGAGGCACGAAAGUGCGGGUAUCGAACAGGAUUAGAUACCCGAGUAGUC
rnacentral:rRNA from 1 species